rnacentral:rRNA from 1 species
AGAGUUUGAUCAUGGCUCAGGACUAACGCUGGCGGCGUGCUUAACACAUGCAAGUCGAACGGACAAUAUCGAGGAGUUUACUUCGAGAUAUUGUUAGUGGCGGACGGGUGAGUAACACGUGGAUAAUCUACCUGUAACACCGGGAUAACAUUGUGAAAACGAUGCUAAUACCGGAUACGUUCCUCUGUCUGCAUGGACAGGGGAAGAAAGAGAAUUGGUUACAGAUGAGUCCGCGGCUGAUUAGCUAGUUGGUGGGGUAAAAGCCUACCAAGGCGACGAUCAGUAGCCGGCCUGAGAGGGUGAACGGCCACACUGGGACUGAGACACGGCCCAGACUCCUACGGGAGGCAGCAGUGGGGAAUCUUCCGCAAUGGACGAAAGUCUGACGGAGCAACGCCGCGUGAGUGAAGAAGGCCUUCGGGUUGUAAAGCUCUGUCUUCAGGGAAGAAAAGAAUGACGGUACCUGAGGAGGAAGCCACGGCUAACUACGUGCCAGCAGCCGCGGUAAUACGUAGGUGGCAAGCGUUGUCCGGAAUUACUGGGCGUAAAGGGCGUGUAGGCGGAUGAUUAAGUCAGGUGUGAAAUCUUUGGGCUCAACCCAGAGUUUGCAUUUGAAACUGGUUAUCUUGAGUGCAGGAGAGGAUAGUGGAAUUCCUAGUGUAGCGGUGAAAUGCGUAGAUAUUAGGAGGAACACCAGUGGCGAAGGCGACUGUCUGGACUGUAACUGACGCUGAGGCGCGAAAGCGUGGGGAGCAAACAGGAUUGGAUACCCUGGUAGUCCACGCCGUAAACGAUGGGUACUAGGUGUAGGAGGUAUCGACCCCUUCUGUGCCGGA